rnacentral:rRNA from 1 species
ACAUAGGGUGCAAGCGUUGUCCGGAUUUAUUGGGCGUAAAGAGUUCGUAGGCGGUUUUUCGCGUCGGAUGUGAAAACUCAGGGCUCAACCCUGAGCCUGCAUUCGAUACGGGAAGACUCGAGGACGGCAGGGGAGACUGGAACUUCUGGUGUAGCGGUGGAAUGCGCAGAUAUCAGAAAGAACACCAAUGGCGAAGGCAGGUCUCUGGGCCGAUCCUGACGCUGAGGAACGAAAGCGUGGGGAGCAAACAGGAUUAGAUACCCUGGUAGUCCAGACCGUAAACGGUGGGCACUAGUUGUGGGAACCUUCCACGGUUUCUGCGACGCAGCUAACGCAUUAAGUGCCCCGCCUGGGGAGUACGAUCGCAAGAUUA